rnacentral:rRNA from 1 species
GAUGAACGCUGGCGGCGUGCCUAAUACAUGCAAGUCGAGCGAACGGACGAGAAGCUUGCUUCUCUGAUGUUAGCGGCGGACGGGUGAGUAACACGUGGAUAACCUACCUAUAAGACUGGGAUAACUUCGGGAAACCGUAGCUAAUACCGGAUAAUAUUUUGAACCGCAUGGUUCAAAAGUGAAAGACGGUCUUUCUGUCACUUAUAGAUGGAUCCGCGCUGCAUUAGCUAGUUGGUAAGGUAACGGCUUACCAAGGCAACGAUGCAUAGCCGACCUGAGAGGGUGAUCGGCCACACUGGAACUGAGACACGGCCCAGACUCCUACGGGAGGCAGCAGUAGGGAAUCUUCCGCAAUGGGCGAAAGCCUGACGGAGCAACGCCGCGUGAGUGAUGAAGGUCUUCGGAUCGUAAAACUCUGUUAUUAGGGAAGAACAUAUGUGUAAGUAACUGUGAACAUCUUGACGGUACCUAAUAAGAAAGCAACGGCUAACUACGU